UCUCUCUUAAUAACCAUUCAUCUCCAUGAUCUUCCACCUCUGCCCCCAUGGACAUUCCAGAGCUCUCAUGGAAAUCCCUCUUGGGGGCUAUAAAGUGGAGAGAAGGACUGGGGGAAGUCAAACACCUUUUGACCACGUAGCCCUGCAGGACCCUGCCUGCCGCUUGAGCUGGCCAUCGCAGAACCAACCUGGAAAUGAAGGCCACCACAUUAACCCUGACAUCUCUACUCCUUGUAGCUCUAUGCACUGAAGCUCAUUGCUUUUUCUAUGAUAGGAAACCUAAAUGCUGUUAUGGAAGCAAUUUUGUGAAAAGGCCAGUUCCUUCAUUCCUCAUCCGGGGUUACCGAAAUACAAGUUCCACUUGCUCCCAUCAGGCUGUGCUUGUGGAGCUUCGGAAAGGGAAGGAAAUCUGUGUUGAUCCCUCUGAGAAAUGGUUUCAGAAUUAUGAACAAAUGAAGAAAAAACAAUCUUCUAGUGGCGCAUAGGCUGUCAGCAGCAACUGAACACAAUCCUACAUGUUCUUUAUAUGACUGUUAUUUAUAUUUUAGCUUGAUGGCUAGUUUUUAGAGCAGAUUAGUUUAUAAAACACACCUUCUCUCCCCCCGCCCCACUUAUGUAUCCUCUGACCCUAGUCACUAUGUCAUAGAGAAGUUAG